UACAUGUGUAUAUGUGACAUGUGUUCAGAAGUCAGAAGCACUGGACCUCCUGGUACUGGAAUUACUGGCUGUUCUGAGGCACUUCUUGCAUGGAUGCUGGGAACCUGUCUUGAGUCCUCUGGUAGAGCAGCAAGUGGUCUUAAUUGCUGAGCCAUCUCUCCAGCUACAGCGGUGAAAGGUUUCUGAGAGCAGUUCUCCAACUGUAUUUCCCAGACAAAUCAGAAGAAUCAGUAAAACCAGGUGCUUCAUCUACAUGUAUGUCUAUGUGUCUUAUGUGUGCCUUGUGCCCCCUGAGGCCCGAAGAGGACAUUGGAUUCCCUAAGACUGGAGAGGUUUGCUGGGCCCAUUUUACUGAUAAAGAACCAGAGUAAAUCUAAGGAAAUUAUGUGGAAAUAUUUCCCAGGCUAGAAGAAAGUAAUUUUAUACAGAAGAG